rnacentral:rRNA from 1 species
UAGGGAAUCUUCGGCAAUGGGGGGAACCCUGACCGAGCAACGCCGCGUGAGUGAAGAAGGUUUUCGGAUCGUAAAGCUCUGUUGUUAAGGAAGAACGAGUGUGAGAAUGGAAAGUUCAUACUGUGACGGUACUUAACCAGAAAGGGACGGCUAACUACGUGCCAGCAGCCGCGGUAAUACGUAGGUCCCGAACGUUGUCCGGAUUUAUUGGGCGUAAAGCGAGCGCAGGCGGUUAGAUAAGUCUGAAGUUAAAGGCAGUGGCUCAACCAUUGUAGGCUUUGGAAACUGUUUAACUUGAGUGCAGAAGGGGAGAGUGGAAUUCCAUGUGUAGCGGUGAAAUGCGUAGAUAUAUGGAGGAACACCGGUGGCGAAAGCGGCUCUCUGGUCUGUAACUGACGCUGAGGCUCGAAAGCGUGGGGAGCGAACAGG